rnacentral:lncRNA from 1 species
AAAGGUAAAAACAGUGGAAAAACUAAGAUUAAAAAGAGCACUGAGGAGAAAAUAUACAUGUACUAAAAAGCACAGUAUCCGAGCAGAUAGAGAGACAAAGAGGAAAAGAGAGCGAGGUAGAAAACGGAUACUGCCUAUGCCUACUCCAUCCCUCUUUCAGCACCAAGGACAGAACCUCUGAGCGGCUGACCCAAGCAACGCUCAGUUUAGGGUCCCUCCCAAAUCCUCUAAAGAAAACGGAUACAUUCGAAAGCAGCUAUGAAACAUGCACUAAGGUCUAAUAGGGAAGCUGGAAAAGCAGCACUCAAGUAAUUUCACCUUAGAGGCAAAAAUGGGUGAUUUCUUUCUGUUCAUUUCAUAGUUUCUGAGUCCUGAGAAAGGCAAAGUUUGCUUUGCUUGGGUAUGUCUGCUGUCAGUAAAUGGCUGCAGGAGCCGAAGUGGUAAACUCCUCGGUCUCCAGAAAUCAGAAGAAAAUUUUAGGAAGCCCCUUGGCAUCACGCACCUCCCUCUGGGCUAUGGCAUC